AUUGAACGCUGGCGGCAGGCCUAACACAUGCAAGUCGAACGAGUGGCGGACGGGUGAGUAAUGCUUGGGAAUCUGGCUUAUGGAGGGGGAUAACGACGGGAAACUGUCGCUAAUACCGCGUACCAUAGGAUGAGCCCAAGUGGGAUUAGGUAGGUGGUGGGGUAAUGGCCCACCAAGCCGACGAUCUCUAGCUGGUCUGAGAGGAUGACCAGCCACACGGGAACUGAGACACGGCCCGGACUCCUACGGGAGGAAGCAGUGGGGAAUAUUGCGCAAGGGGGGCAACCCUGACGCAGACAUGCCGCGUGUGUGAAGAAGGCCUUCGGGUUGUAAAGCACUUUCAGCGGGGAGGCGUUACCCGCAGAAGAAGCACCGGCUAACUCCGUGCCAGCAGCCGCGGUAAUUC
rnacentral:rRNA from 1 species